AUUGAACGCUGGCGGCAGGCCUAACACAUGCACGUCGAGCGGAGCGUAGGACGGGUUAGUAAUUCCUAGGAAUCUGCCUGGUAGUGGGGGAUAACGUCCGGAAACGGGCCCUAAUACCGCAUACUCUCAGUUGAGCCUCUGUCGGAUUCGCUAGUUGUUGGGGUAAAGGCCUACCAAGGCGACGAUCCGUAACUGGUCUGAGAGUAUGAUCAGUCAGACUGGAACUGAGACACGGUCCAGACUCCUACGGGAGGCAGCAGUGGGGAAUAUUGGACAAUGGGCGAAAGCCUGAUCCAGCCAUGUCGCGUGUGUGAAGAAGGUCUUCGGAUUGUAAAGCACUUUAAGUUGGGAGGCGUUACCAACAGAAUAAGCACCGGCUAACUUCGUGCCAGCCGCCGCGGUAAUUC
rnacentral:rRNA from 1 species